GACGCCCGCCGCCGCUCAGCCGGGACGCGACCCCGCAGCCACGCGCGGCCCUUGGCGCUAUGGACCCGGCGCUGGCCGCGCAGAUGGGCGAGACGGUGGCGGAGAAGAUGCUCCAGUACCGGCGAGACAAGUCAGGAUGGAAAAUUUGCCGGGAAGCCAAUGGAGUGUCGGUUUCCUGGAGGCCAUCUAUGGAGUUUCCAGGGAACCUGUACCGGGGAGAAGGCAUCGUGAAUGGGACGCCAGAGAAGGUGUGGGGCUGCGUUAAGCCACUUGCUGGGACCCUGAGAGACCAGUGGGAUGAGAAUGUGAGCAGCUUUGAAAUUGUCGAAAGCAUCACGGAUACGCUGUGUGUCAGCAGAACCGCCACCCCCUCGGCCGCCAUGAAGCUCAUUUCCCCCAGAGAUUUCGUGGACUUGGUGUUGGUCAAGAAGUACGAGGAUGGGACUCUCAGCUCCAACGCCGUCAACGCGGAACAUCCGUCGUGCCCCCCGAGGCCGGGGUACGUGAGAGGAUUCAACCACCCUUGUGGUUGCUUCUGCGAACCUCUGCCCGGGGAGCCCGACCGGACCCACCUGGUCACAUUCUUCCAGACUGACCUCAGCGGGUACCUCCCACGGAGUGUGGUGGACUCCUUCUUCCCCCGCAGCAUGGCUGGCUUCUACGCCAACCUGGAGAAAGCCGUGAAGAAAUUCUACAGCUGACGCGCUCGCCCGCUGGCCCAGAACUUGCGUCGCUCGUCGCAGAGCUCCAGCUGGAAGCGACUGCAGCAAGUUUCCAGAGUCCCGCGCAUCGUGUCCUCACAUCUGCCUGGCCCGCCCGUCCCCCGAAUGUGCCGAAGCCCGAGCAGCCUUUAAAACGGGAGGCUCCGUGUCCGGGGCUGAGAAAGCCCCCUUCUCCCUGGGUGGUGAUGCGACCACAGAUCCCACGGUCGUGCCGUCGGGAUCACCCCGCUAGCUGCUCGGGAAGUCGUCAUCAGACUCUUGACUUUAUUUCGAUUCCCUUCCUUCGUGAAGAACUGCCCGGCACUGUCCUGUGUCAGCGCCUCCUGAGUCGCCUCCGCAGGUGCAGCCAGGUCUGGGCGCACCGGCUCAGGAGUCCCCGGGAGGCGGUGGUCUUAGCGAGACGGGGCUGCCUGGGCCGGGCCGUCCAGCGACGUGGAGAGCCGUGCUGCCCGCCGCACGUCUCACGGGGCCCCCCCGGGCAUACUGCCCACCUGCCGGCCUCGGGGUAAACUGAGCACUGGACUAGGAGUCCGAAAGCACGCGUCUGGUCCCGUGCCUGCCACUCAGACCCCUCGCAUCCCUGCGCGUCGACUUCCUGUCUCUCUAGGACGACACGGGGACUCGAACGCCAGCCCCAGCCCGCUGCUCGGGAGUCCGUGCGGAUGGAGGGACGGGCGAGGUCACUGCCCGAAGCAGAGGACCGGGGCAGCCGGGAGAGGCCCUCGGGGAGGCUCGUUUCCGUGCCGCGUUGACGAGGUUGGGAACCGUGACGCUGGGGUCCCCGUGGGUGGCUGGAAACACCGUCUCCAGAGGCUGUUCUGGGCCGGGCCUCGUGGCCGUUCCUAACGAGCCGGGGGCCCUUCCGACACCCACAGCCGCGCCCCAGCCCCGACACCAGCCUGCCCCUGUCGCUCACUUGGCUUGUCCGGCCCGGCGGGAGGCUCUCUGUGUGUCCCUGGCCCCGGCCGGCACCGUGCUCACGCGUGUCCCCCCUCCCAGUCCCGACGGAGGGCCGCGUCCUCCUUCCCUGCGCUGGUCCACGUGCCUCACCUGGGAUCGU